ACAGCCCAGACCACCAGCUAAGGUCCCAAAAUAUAUGUUAAGUGGAAAAGGAUGUGGCGUUGCCCAGACAACUAGGAUGUUGGCUUAGAAGCAGCCAUCAUUUAAAGAGUGCGUAAUAGCUCACUAGUCGAGUGACACUGCGCCGAAAAUGUACCGGGGCUAAACAUAUUACCGAAGCUGUGGAUUGUCCUUUGGACAAUGGUAGGAGAGCGUUCUAAGGGCGUUGAAGCAUGAUCGUAAGGACAUGUGGAGCGCUUAGAAGUGAGAAUGCCGGUGUGAGUAGCGAAAGACGGGUGAGAAUCCCGUCCACCGAUUGACUAAGGUUUCCAGAGGAAGGCUCGUCCGCUCUGGGUUAGUCGGGUCCUAAGCUGAGGCCGACAGGCGUAGGCGAUGGAUAACAGGUUGAUAUUCCUGUACCACCUAUAAUCGUUUUAAUCGAUGGGGGGACGCAGUAGGAUAGGCGAAGCGUGCGAUUGGAUUGCACGUCUAAGCAGUAAGGCUGAGUAUUAGGCAAAUCCGGUACUCGUUAAGGCUGAGC
rnacentral:rRNA from 1 species